rnacentral:lncRNA from 1 species
AGAAAAUAAUGAGAUUUACCUAUGGCAAUAAGGUGGGAAAUUGAUAAGUCCUUACUUAAAAUGAGAUUUAACCAAACAUUACCAUAAUCUGGAAACUUACAACUGGAACGCAAAACUCAACACAGAUUUGAUACAAAACAACUUAAAAAUAGGGGAAAAACUCUAAGGAAAAAAUGAUGGCAUGUACACAAUCACAACUGAAUACGAACAUAUAUGAGUGAGUGUGUGGAGCAGAAAAGAAAAGCCCUAGAGUUGAGCACUUGGGCUGAUGAUUCGGAGAGAACUUAGCAGUCAAAUCUAUUAAUUUCUCUCCUGCUGUGAUGUAAUAAUAACAUCAAAUUUGAGAGUGGUUCUAUUAGAUCAUUUAUGUAUAUUUGUUGGACUUGGCCACUUUGCUAUCAUUGCGUCAUACCUAGACGAACCUCAAUAAAUACACAAAAGCUUUAUGAAACAACACGUGUACAACAGGACUCUUCCUUUACAUUUUUUCUAUCAAUUACGUGGUAAGUUUUGAAAUUUAUGGUAAUACAUAAUAGCAGCAGGACUCUUUUUUAGAAUUGGUAUCCACGAACACAGAAUUUCAGAAGGUAUGGGGGUGCAUUUGCGUUUCAAGUGAAAUCAAAACUCAACCUCAUUCAAAAUGGUAACGAUGAAUUUCAGACAAUUGAAGCCUUGGUUUAAUAAAAAAAGAGGUUAAAAUGUUACCAUUCAUUUUAGGCCAAAAAAAAAUUAAGUACAUAUAGCUCAAAAUAUUUGACAAAUUAAUUCACAA